UCCAUUUUUUUGCCGUUUGGCGUUUGUUUGGUUACAAAAGCAUGACUUUGAGAUACAUAUUUCGUCAUUGACACGAACGGCUCAUAGCAAGUAAUUUCCCUCGGUUUUUUUUUUCAGAACUGCUUGCUGCCCAGCAUCUACCGUCAGUCCUAGGUAUGCCUUCUGAAAAGCCACAAGUUUCUAAAGCUGGAGGUGAUUCCAGUAGCCCUGAUCAACAGAAGCCCAAGUUGAGGCCAUGCUGCGCCUGUCCUGAGACAAAGAAAGCCAGGGAUGAAUGUGUGAUUGAAAGAGGUGAAGAAAACUGUGGAGACCUCAUUGAGAAACACAAGCAGUGUAUGAGAGAUCUUGGAUUCAAGAUCUGAAGGAAGAUCCUCCACUGUAUGUGCACAUCUGUGAUUCUGAAGAAGAUGGAUGAAUGAUAAUUGUCUGUUCCUGAAGAGCUACAGCUGAGAUGACUGCUGAAAUUGACUUGACUAGUGUUACUGUUGUAAUGUUGCGAAGUUUGUGUUCAUUGAACCAUUGCGUUUUGUUGGAUCUUUGUUGAUAGAUGCAAUGGUUUAUUCAUAUGAUUGCAAAACUGAUUUGUAUGCAUCUUGUGAGAAUGUUUUACUGCUUGUUUCAUCUUGUAAAUAAAUUUUUACUGCUCUUUACAG